UGCGUAGGCGGAAUAUUAAGUCAGUGGUGAAAUCCUGCGGCUCAACCGUAGAACUGCCAUUGAUACUGAUAUUCUUGAAUGUAGUUGAGGUAGGCGGAAUGUGUAAUGUAGCGGUGAAAUGCUUAGAUAUUACACAGAACACCGAUUGCGAAGGCAGCUUACUAAACUAUGAUUGACGCUGAGGCACGAGAGCGUGGGGAGCGAACAGGAUUAGAUACCCUGGUAGUCC
rnacentral:rRNA from 1 species